rnacentral:misc_RNA from 1 species
GGAAGGAAAAAAGAAAAAAAAAAAAAGAUGUUACCAUCGUAUGUUUCAAUCUCUUAUAUCUAUGCUUAUGUUGACAAAAAUAAUUUUGGAAAUGGAUGCUUUAUAUUGAAUGUCUUAUGAGCCUGUAGGUCUAGGCUUAAGAACUAAGGGCAUAUUUGGUUCAUUUUGUAAAUGGAAUGUGAGUAGAAAUGAAUGCUACUGAAUUCUUAGUUGUCUCAUCCCCGGAGACGCAGUUACAAUGUUUUGAUGUUUAAUUUUGGUGUGUCAUUGUUGCAGUUGAGCGAGGCUUGU